UUCAUGAUUUGUAAUAUACAAUCAAUUUUUUUAGAGACACAUCAACAUCAUUUAUAGAUAAAAAAGAAGUCUCAGAUGAUAUCACGUGUACCGUCGAUGUAGCUGCUUAUAGAAAAAUAAAAAAUCAAUUAAUGCAAGAAAAAAGAAAAAAUUUUAAUUUAAAACGAAUGGUUUCCCGAAUGAGACAACGAAAGGACUUAUUAAAAAAACAAAAUAUCGCUUUAAGGAAGAAAAGUGAAGAUAAGUGUAUUGAAAAUAAACUAUUACAUUAUACAUUAGGACCAAUAUGAAAGGCAGUUUAUUCAAAAUUAGUUUCUAAAAGAAAAAAGACGGUACACCAAAAGGAAAUACGAAUUUUUGCUUCUACCGUCGCGUUUUUAUUAUCUAAAGCGUACAAUUAUGUACGAAAUACGUUUCCGUCAUUACCACAUAAAAGAAUACUCCAAAAAUGGCUACAUAAUGUAGAUAUUGAACCAGGAAUUUGUCAAGUAGCUAUAAAUAUAAUAAGGGAAAAAUGUAUUGCAGCUAAAAAACAAGAACAAAAACUA